UACGUAGGGGGCAAGCGUUAUCCGGAUUUACUGGGUGUAAAAGGGGCGUAGACGGAAUUGCAAGUCUGAUGUGAAAAUCCGGGGCCCAACCCCGGAACUGCAUUGGAAACUGUAUUUCUAGAGUGUCGGAGAGGCAAGUGGAAUUCCUGGUGUAGCGGUGAAAUGCGUAGAUAUCAGGAAGAACACCAGUGGCGAAGGCGGCUUGCUGGACGAUGACUGACGUUGAGGCUCGAAAGCGUGGGGAGCAAACAGG
rnacentral:rRNA from 1 species